ensembl:lncRNA
UGGUAGAGUUCUGUUUCCUGUCCCAACAAGCACUGGUUCACUUAUGUCUUUAUUAAUUCAUCCAAUAACUAAAUAGCAACCGAGACAUGAGGAUAAAAACUUGAAAGUCAUCUCUCUCCCGACAGCGAGGUGAUCCCAGUCUAGCAAGAGAAACUAGACACUCACAGAAAUCAUGUAUAGUACCAGGUAGAUGGCAAUAAAAGUCUAAAAGAAGAGGUGGAGCCAUCAGGUAUUCAAUACACUCAAAGCGUGAGAGAUCACUCUUUCCGGAGGGGAGAGGGAAAGGAUGAGGAAAGAUGUCACAGAGUGAGGGGUGGCCUUAACGUGAACCUGCCAGAGUGAAGAGGGAUUUGCACUCACAGGCAGAGUAGAGCUGCAGGAAAAAAAAACCACAACCAACGUCCAGAGAUGGAAAAGUACAGGACCGAGAAGAGUGCGUGUGCUCAGCCGGGCAGUGUGCUCAGACAGAGCGCUGCGGACUAUGGUCAACACGCAGGCCGGGAUGCACGUGGGGUUGGAAUGGAGCAGGAGAAGGCUGGUGUGGCGAGACCAGGUGCUUGCAGCCUCCCGGGUGAGAAGUGAGAGGGUGGUGGCGGUGAAGAUGGGGGGAAGGGAAGGGUGUGAGAAAUGUUUUUACAGUCCUGCCUAAUGCCUCCAAAUCUCCUUGACUAAUUCUCCACAGUCACUCAUAUACCCCUUUUCACUGCAGGCAUCACACAACUUGCCCUGCCCCCUCUUUGGAAACUUAUCUUUUGAUCUUCCAAGUGCGUAACUUUCUGCCCAAUUACUUGUCUUCAACCCAUCAGAGCAGGUCAGCCACGCAGCUCAGAAGUCUCACUGUUCCACUUGGCCUAGGUUGCUCCCAUCCUCAGCACCCUCAUCUGCAGAGGUGGAGAACAACAGCCCACAUCUCCGUGCCCUCACGAGGAGGUUCGGUCAGAAGUGACACUGCUGCUGCUGCUGGGGCUAAGUCGCUUCAGUCGUGUCCAACUCUGUGCGACCCCAUAGACGGCAGCCCACCAGGCUCCCGCGUCCCUGGGAUCCUCCAGGCAAGAACACUGGAGUGAGCUGCCAUUUCCUUCUCCAAUGCAUGAAAGUGAAAAGUGAAAGCGAAGUCGCUCAGUUGUGUCUGUCUCUUCGCGACCCCAUGGACUGCGGCCUACCAGGCUCCUCAGCCCAUGAGAUUUUCCAGCAAACUGAGACUGCGGGCCGCCAAGCACUCCCUCUGGAAAUCCU